rnacentral:misc_RNA from 1 species
GAUGAAGAACGUAGCGAAAUGCGAUAAGUAAUGUGAAUUGCAGAAUUCAGUGAAUCAUCGAGUCUUUGAACGCACAUUGCGCCCCCUGGUAUUCCGGGGGGCAUGCCUGUCCGAGCGUCAUUGCUGCCCUCAAGCACGGCUUGUGUGUUGGGCCGUCGUCCCCCUCCUAGGGGACGGGCCCGAAAGGCAGCGGCGGCACCGCGUCCGGUCCUCGAGCGUAUGGGGCUUCGUCACCCGCUCCGUAGGCCCGGCCGGCGCUUGCCGACGACCAUCAAUCUCUUUCUCCAGGUUGACCUCGGAUCAGGUAGGGAUACCCGCUGAACUUAAGCAUAUCAAUAAGAGGAGGA